CCAAAAUAAACCUCCAGCAAAUCGUGGUGAUCCCCUUUAGAAGCAAUGAAAAAUCAUGGCUAGACUGCCUCAUCUGUGGUACAUGACGGCUGCCUAAUCUGCUUAGGCAGCUCAGCACGCACAGAGAAAAAGUCAUAAGAUCAGCAAGAAGAGAAACUGUAGAUUUGCCUCAACUCAACAUGUUAAGUAAUCGCCUGACAUCUACAUAAGACCACCUCUUGGCACCUGGCUACACAAGCUGAAAUGGUUGUCUUUGGAAAAAGAAUAGACAUUCAUGGCAGACCAAAGAUCACUCUCUGAAGGUGUUAUGUGAGAAAUCCACACAGGAGAAACCCAAGAAAACCACGCAGGUAAAUGCUAGCCUGGAAAGACAGAGGGAAAACAUGCCAAGUGGAGCCCACCACAAGGACAGCAGUCAGAGCCCAAGAGCCCAGCUUUAAAAGGGCUGCAUACCAAAAGGAACAAAAGCACAAAACAAACAAACAAACAAACAAACAAGCAAAUGAUGGUGGAAACUAUUUUCAAAACUUCCCUGUUCUGGUAAAGACGUUUUCAGAGCUCAAACUAGUCCUGCUGAAAAUAUUUUUUAAAAUAUGAAAGCAUAGCGGAAAAUUUGUAUGAAAAAGAAAAAAGAAAAAGAAGGAGGAGGAAGAAGAAGAAGAAAGAAGAAAAAGGAGAGGAAGAAGAAGAAGGAGGAGGAGGAGAAGAAGAGGAGGAGGAGGAGGAGGAAAUGGCAGAGACAAUGUAUGUCCCAGAAAGCCUAAAAUGUGUACUGUUUGUCCGUUUAUAGAAAAAGUGUGCCAGUCCCUACUCUGUUCCCAAUUUUAAAAACAAAUAAAUAAAAAGAAAAACAAGCAAGUCUCUCAGCCAAGAAAGAAUCGAUGGGAACUUUUUCAACUUUAUAAAGUGGAUCUACAAAAAACUACAACUAACACUAACGUCACACCUAAUGGUGAAAGUCUGAAUGUUUUCCCUCUAAGACUAGGAAAAGGUGGCAUGGAUGUCCACUCUCCCUACUCUAUUCAGCAUUGUAUCAAAAGUUCUUAUCAGUGAAAUAAGACAAGAAAACAAUAAAUGGCAUCCAUAUUGGAAAAGAAGUAACACUGUCUUUAUUUGCAGAUGACAUUAUAAUCUAAAUAGAAAAUCUUAUGGAAUCUGCUAAAAAGCUAAUAGAACCAAUAAGCGAGUUUAGCAUAGUUACAAGACACAACAUAUAAAAAUUAAUUAUAUUUCAAAAUACUAGCAAUGAACAAUUAAAUUUUCCUUUUAAAAUUUUCAACAACAUCAAGACAUGAACCACUGGGGGAUAAACCCCAUGAAACAUGGCAGAAAAAAAUUCAGGAA
rnacentral:lncRNA from 10 species